rnacentral:lncRNA from 1 species
UCUGAAAGAGUGUUGCAAACAUGGAUCUUGUCUAAUAUCAAGUUCAAAAUGCUCCAAUUCAUAUUUCAUAUACAAUUAAAUGAUCUAGAAGAAGAUAUACAACUGAUUUUUUUGCCUUUAACAUUAACUAGCAUUACUCUAGGAGAGUUGAAACACUUUGCAAAGACAAAUCUCUCAAAAUGCUACCGUUCAUAUUUCAUAUGUAAUUUUUCUUGAUGAGUGAAGUUAGCAAGAUAGGAUUUUUGAGCAAACUUGCAAAUAUCAUCAAUCUUGAAUAAUUAAAUCCAUCUUUAGGAUCAAAAGAUGAGUUAAGGAAAAAAUGGACUAAAAAAAGAUGAGCUAAGGAAAGAAAAAU